rnacentral:tRNA from 1 species
UCCCGGUAGUUCAGAGGUUAAAGCGUCUGCCUGCAAUGCAGGAGACCCGGGUUUGAUCCCUGGGUUGGGAA